AGCGAUGAGACUUUAACAGAACCCUUCGGGGCGAAGAUAGAGUGGAUUAGCGGCGGACGGGUGAGUAACACGUGAGUAACCUGCCUUAGACAUUGGGAUAGCCUCGGGAAACUGGGAUUAAUACCAAAUAAAAUCAUAAUGACACAUGUCAUAACGAUCAAAACUCCGGUGGUCUAAGAUGGACUCGCGUCCCAUUAGCUAGUUGGUAGAGUAAAAGCCUACCAAGGCGACGAUGGGUAGCCGGCCUGAGAGGGUGAACGGCCACAUUGGAACUGAGAAACGGUCCAAACUCCUACGGGGGGCAGCAGUGGGGAAUAUUGCACAAUGGAGGGAACUCUGAUGCAGCGACGCCGCGUGAACGAAGAAGGCUUUCGAGUCGUAAAGUUCUUUUAUAUGGGAAGAUAAUGACGGUACCAUAAGAAAAAGCCCCGGCUAACUACGUGCCAGCAGCCGCGGUAAUACGUAGGGGGCUAGCGUUGUCCGGAAUCACUGGGCGUAAAGGGUUCGCAGGCGGAAAUGCAAGUCAGAUGUAAAAGGCAGUAGCUUAACUACUGUAAGCAUUUGAAACUGCAUAUCUUGAGAAGAGUAGAGGUAAGUGGAAUUUUUAGUGUAGCGGUGAAAUGCGUAGAU
rnacentral:rRNA from 1 species